rnacentral:rRNA from 1 species
AAGUGGUAGGAGAGCGUUCUAUUUGCGUCGAAGGUAUACCGGUAAGGAGUGCUGGAGCGAAUAGAAGUGAGCAUGCAGGCAUGAGUAGCGAUAAUUAAUGUGAGAAUCAUUAACGCCGUAAACCCAAGGUUUCCUACGCGAUGCUCGUCAUCGUAGGGUUAGUCGGGUCCUAAGUCGAGUCCGAAAGGGGUAGACGAUGGCAAAUUGGUUAAUAUUCCAAUACCAACAUUAGUGUGCGAUGGAAGGACGCUUAGGGCUAAGGGGGCUAGCGGAUGGAAGUGCUAGUCUAAGGUCGUAGGAGGUUAUACAGGCAAAUCCGUAUAACAAUACUCCGAGAACUGAAAGGCUUUUUGAAGUCUUCGGAUGGAUAGAAGAACCCCUGAUGCCAUCGAGCCAAGAAAAGUUUCUAAGUUUAGCUAAUGUUGCCCGUACCGUAAACCGACACAGGUGGGUGGGAUGAGUAUUCUAAGGCGCGUGGAAGAACUCUCUUUAAGGAACUCUGCAAAAUAGCACCGUAUCUUCGGUAUAAGGUGUGGUUCGCUUCGUAUUAGGAUUUACUCCGAAAGCGAAGAAACUUACAACAAAGAGUCCCUCCCGACUGUUUACCAAAAACACAGCACUCUGCUAACUCGUAAGAGGAUGUAUAGGGUGUGACGCCUGCCCGGUGCUCGAAGGUUAAUUGAUGGGGUUAGCAUUAGCGAAGCUCUUGAUCGAAGCCCGAGUAAACGGCGGCCGUAACUAUAACGGUCCUAAGGUAGCGAAAUUCCUUGUCGGUUAAAUACCGACCUGCAUGAAUGGCGUAACGAGAUGGGAGCUGUCUCAAAGAGGGAUCCAGUGAAAUUGUAGUGGAGGUGAAAAUUCCUCCUACCCGCGGCAAGACGGAAAGACCCCGUGGACCUUUACUACAGCUUGACACUGCUAUUUGGAUAAGAAUGUGCAGGAUAGGUGGGAGGCUUUGAGUAUAUGACGCCAGUUGUAUAUGAGCCAUUGUUGAGAUACCACUCUUUCUUAUUUGGGUAGCUAACCAGCUUGAGUUAUCCUCAAGUGGGACAAUGUCUGGUGGGUAGUUUGACUGGGGCGGUCGCCUCCCAAAUAAUAACGGAGGCUUACAAAGGUUGGCUCAGAACGGUUGGAAAUCGUUCGUAGAGUAUAAAGGUAUAAGCCAGCUUAACUGCAAGACAUACAAGUCAAGCAGAGACGAAAGUCGGUCUUAGUGAUCCGGUGGUUCUGUGUGGAAGGGCCAUCGCUCAAAGGAUAAAAGGUACCCCGGGGAUAACAGGCUGAUCUCCCCCAAGAGCUCACAUCGACGGGGAGGUUUGGCACCUCGAUGUCGGCUCAUCGCAUCCUGGGGCUGGAGCAGGUCCCAAGGGUAUGGCUGUUCGCCAUUUAAAGCGGUACGCGAGCUGGGUUCAGAACGUCGUGAGACAGUUCGGUCCCUAUCUGCCGUGGGCGUAAGAAGAUUGAAGAGAUUUGACCCUAGUACGAGAGGACCGGGUUGAACAAACCACUGGUGUAGCUGUUGUUCUGCCAAGAGCAUCGCAGCGUAGCUAAGUUUGGAAAGGAUAAACGCUGAAAGCAUCUAAGCGUGAAGCCAACUCUAAGAUGAAUCUUCUCUAAGCUCUCUAGAAGACUACUAGUUUGAUAGGCUGGGUGUGUAAUGGAUGAAAGUCCUUUAGCUGACCAGUACUAAUAGAGCGUUUGGCUUAUCUUUA